CUCAAGUAACAGUACGUUACACCUGUCUUUGAUUUAAAAACUUUACUUUACACAUGGUGCCACCUCCCACUGCUUCCAAUGAGAUACAGACAACAGAUACCCUCCGCUUCACCGUUGCCCACACCCAGAGGAACCGGCUCUUCAUACCCCCAGAUUAUCUCGAUUAUCUCGAUGCUUCGCCUCCUCCCCCUACCUUCUCCAUAGUUACUGAUUUUUUCUGCUUUCCUCUUCCAAAUCUCAUUCUCAAACUCCAUAUGUUACAUGCUCUGUCUGAUUUCCGUUCUCUCCCAUGGUUACCGCCAUUGCAUCCACCUGUUGUUCCAUUGUUACCAUACCCAAUCGCCUAUAUCCCUACCGGUGGUGCCCAACAGAAGCCCUAAAAUCGAUUUCAAUCGUUCGCACCUCCUCUCAGUUGCAUAUCGGUCGACCUUUCCAGGGAAAAAACAUUUCUGGUCACGUAUUGGUAUUAGAGGCCCAGAGACGGAAUAAAAUCCAACACGGAGAUAAAUGCGCUUACUCUUUACAAUUUUGAAUUAUAGAUUGAACAUCAUUGUCUUCUCCUAUUUGUUCAUCACAACUUAAUUCUUACUUAAUUUUUUUAUUGUUUUUACCACUUUCAGUUGGUGGAUGCUUCAACUUGAAGAAAGAGGUUGCUGAUGGUGUUAAAGAGGUCAUGCCAUCUCAUGUUAAUAAAGAUGGGAAGUCGGUUUACUUGAACCUGUCAUCUUGGAACAUUGUUACAAAUUUGUUUUUUCUUCAUUCACCUAUUGGAGUUGGAUAUUAUCACUCAAAUACCACUUCAGAUAUCUUGAAUGCGAUAAAAGAACUGCUGCAGAUUUGCUUCUAUUUCUAUUGAGUUAGCUUGAAAGAUUACCUCACUUUAAAGGAAGCAAUUUCUAUAUUGCAGGACUGCAGAUGCGAUCAAGAAAGCUUAUCAGAGAGUAUGAAGCAUGCAUUUGGUAGACAUAAAAGAACCAUAUUGGUCAGUAACAAUGAAAGAAUGAUUAAUUGCCUUCUCAUGAGAAAAAAAACCCCUCAUUACAGGUACUUAUUCGAAAUUAAAGGAGCCGACAUGAUCACAAUGCAUCACACUAUGAUGUUCCGUACAUGAGAUCUUUGGGAGUUUUACUCUGAUGAUUGUUUUCUUAUGACAUGUUUUGGUUAUUAAGAUAUUGGUUUUUGAUUAUGAUAUGGGAUGACACUAUUGAUGUUUUUAGACUAUCGUUUUUAUGAAUUACUUAAUUAAAAACAAAAA